rnacentral:sRNA from 1 species
GGUGGUGACAGCUGAAGGAUCAACUGGGCCAUAGUUAAAGUCGAUGGUGGGAAUCCAUCCUGGGAGGUGAGGUAUGAUAACACCAUUGUAAUUAUACCUGAAAAAGUCUGUCUCUUCUCAAGAUGAAUACUAAGGCCAUGUUUUUCUUCCGGGGCCCAGUCCUCUGUGAGCUUCAGUUAAGCCUUCUCUCAUCCAGAGAGUAAGGCAAAAGCUAGGCUUUGUUUCUUAGAGGAUGCGGAAGCUUACAUGACAGCAGGUUUGGGCAGAGUCUGACAGUUCCUCUCGAGCUCCACAUUGCUAAUUUAUAAGGCACCAAGUUCCUUGGCUUACUCCUCUCUUCUCCCAUGGUCAUCUCUCAACCAAGUCACUGGAUGGAAACAUCUGAGAAAGACAUUUCCUCGGAGAUGCACAGACGGUCUGUUCACUUUUCAUAACUUUUCAGGGGCUCCCCAGGCUCACAGCUCAGAGCAAGUGUCUGUCCCCUCACUUCUGUCAUGAGUAUUGGCAAGCAGGACCCUUCCACACUUGGUCUCUUUGACUCUAAUGCUAAGUGAUGGGGCUAACACAGCACACACUGUUCUCCGGCCUUGCCCUGUUUUGCCUGGGACAGCAGGAUUAGUCAGGGAAAUAUGACCAGAGGAUGCCCAAUGGGUUUAGUGACUUAAUUGUCUGAGUGUUUGAAACUGUGUAUUAGUUCCACUUUAAGUACAGUCGCUUCUUCCUCACUAACAGGAAUGUGUUUAAAUGAAUUUAUUUGAAUAAAGACGUGAGAGACGCUCCAAAGAA